UAACUGAAGAGUUUGAUCAUGGCUCAGAUUGAACGCUGGCGGCAGGCUUAACACAUGCAAGUCGAGCGGGGGAAGGUAGCUUGCUACUGGACCUAGCGGCGGACGGGUGAGUAAUGCUUAGGAAUCUGCCUAUUAGUGGGGGACAACAUCUCGAAAGGGAUGCU
rnacentral:rRNA from 1 species